GCCGCAGCAUUGGUUAACACAAAUCAUUAUUCGCUGGAUUCAAGCAAAAAGACGCAUCAGAUUACUCAUGGGUUUAAUCUUAUCUUCACUCUCGUUCCUGGCCCUACAUCAUCCAUAUUCGUGCAUGUGGCCAAGCAGAAUAAAUCCAGGCAAAGAGAAACAUUCUACAGAAAAGGGUAAAAAUUCAGUAAUUUCCUUUUUAACUGAAUCCCAGGCUGAC
rnacentral:lncRNA from 1 species